AUGGCCAUGGAUCAACAAUUUCUGAAUUAGAAGAAGACAAAUGAGAAAAAGUAUUUGGUAACUGUGAAGUUUUAAGCAGGAACUCAGGAAGAUUUUGAGAACAUCUGGUCAGAAUGUAUUUCUUUUUAGAGCCUUGUCUGCCUUGGUUAUUUCACCAUUCAUUAGCAACUCACUAGAAGAGGGAAGAAAAAGAAGUGAAAUUAAGCAAUCAACUUUGUUACUUGUUAACAAAAGGUGGCAAAGAGGUUGAGUACCAGUUACAAAGAAACAACGAGAGUUUGCUUCCCAAUCCCUUCUGUAAAAGCCCAGUUGUGCCAGGCGCGGAGGCUCAUGCCUGUAAUCCCAGCACUUUGGGAGCCGAAGCGCGUCCGCGGCUUUACCUCGACGGAUCACGAGAAGAGUUGCCUAUGUUAAAGGCUUCUGCUCUAUCUAAGGGAAUAAGGAGAAGGCAUUUCCUGAGAUACUAAACAGGAUUUUCCCUAGUUACUCUGUGGUGAUAACUAGAGUAACAGUGUCCACUGCUGGCAAAUCAGAUAAUUGCACUGAACUUUACAGUUACUGUAUGUAAAGAAUAACAUUUUACUUUCACCAGCAUGCAUUUUCAGGACAUUCAUCAUAAUCUUGGAAGAAGAAAGUAGAGGACUAUUGUAAUGGGAAUUCUUCCUUAUUUUAUUUGAAAUACUUAAGGACAUUUCAAUUUGUUAAACCUUUGAAGCACAUUUUGUAAUCUAAGAAUUUAAUUUAUUUAACUAGACAGCUGGACAAACGCCUAAGUAGAAAUGGCCACUUUUGCAAGAUUUCUGUGAGCUUUAGAGAAGCUUCCUGGGUUCAAUGCCAAAAACAGGCGGCAGAAGACCCAGCAAAUGUAACUCUCGGGAGACUUGCUGUAACUUAGGACAGUUUGUUACUCCUCCUUUAAAAUUUCUCCUCGAAAUUUGUACUUGUGAAUGGUGAAAACUGUAUUUUUUUUCUUUGCCAUAGGAAGAAAAAGUAACUCAAACACACAGAUAAAAUUUCUCCUCGAAAUUUGUACUUGUGAAUGGUGAAAGCUGUAUUUUUUUUUCUUUGCCAUAGGAAGAAAAAGUAACUAAAACACACAGAUAAAAUGGUCGUGUUGUGUUAUUAUAACUUAUGGAAAUCCACAAAUAGCAAUUUAUUCUAGUUACAGAAAUACAGCUUGGCCAAAUUAGAGCUAGUGUGGAAUCUUGCUGUUUACUAACUUUGAGGUUGGGUAGUUACAGCUGUAGCUGGGAGCAUACACUACACAGGAAGACUGUACAUACUGAUGACAAUUGUUACAUUAUAUGCAAAGGUGGUGACUCCAUCUCUGCUCAGAAUUCCUUGCUUCGUGAUGAAUUCCAUUUUUUGAGAUUUGGAGCUGUAGGAUCCUAUACAUCAGAACUGAGUAGGCUGAAAACAUAAAUCUCUCCACCGUGCUGCUCCUUUCGGCUCACGUGUUUAUCCUUCUGUGGACUCUUCAGGAUUUCCCUUGACCUUGACCUGCAAGAUCAAGUCUUGUUUCCUCUCUAAGUCUUAGAGGUGUUUCCAGAAGACUCUAUCUGUUCUUAGCAUACUUUGUUUCCAUUUUUCUGUCUUCUAGAUCCUCCCACCUGCAAAUUUUAUUUGCAGGAUUUCUUACUCAUUUUUUUCAUUUGUUCUUUCAACAAAUUUUUAUUGAAUUUUACU